AUGUUAGAAUGGCUGGAGAUUUUUUUUUUUUUUAGUGUUCGUUUCUGUGUGUGUGUGUGUGUGUGUGUGUGUGUGUGUGUGUGUGUGUGUGUGUGUGUGUGUGUGUGUGUGUCCUUUCAGAGUAUGACCAGGGGCCACAGCAUAGACAGUCUAUCCAGUUCCUCUGCUCUCAGGGCCAUGGAACCAGUAUGUGAUCUCCUACAGGAGCAGCUGUCUCUUCAGUCCCAGCUGAUUUAUGAUGCCCCCAUCAGUGCUGUUGGCUCUCCCAUCUCCGGCCGCUCGUCCAGGGCUCCCAGCCCACCGACAGCCAGCCGGCCCCCCACCUGCUGCUCUCCUUCCCCGGCGAGAGGAGGCAUGUACCGCUCAAGUAUCAGCCUCACCCCUGUCGUCCCUCCGCGCCCUGGAGCGGAGACCCACGAGCACGCACCAACAGACAGCCCAGGUCCGGACACAAGCCAGGGGACCGGGGAACUGCGCCUCCCCCAGGAGCCAAGAGGAGGUGGCACGGCAGGAGGUGGAAAUGCUCAUCUGCAGCAGAUCAUCGCAGAGAUCAAGCAGAACCUUGCUGAGGAGAUCAGGCAGGAGAUUUUGAAUGAGCUGUUGGCUGCCGUGUCGCCACGGCGAUCUCCUGUACCAGCAAGGGAGCCUCCGGCGUGACCUGGACCGUGAGCAGUGCGGUCUGUCGUUAUUUUGAGUGAGUGGUGGUCUUGCCUAUGCAGCCCAAGACAAGAAGCCAUGACACUGAAGUCUGAGUGAACACCGGUGAAGCCGUGCACUGCAGUCAGCUCAACAGCGCCCCUUGACUCCAUCAGACACUACUGCAGCAAUACUUGCUGCACCCACUCUUGUUCAGCCCGGCACUGCAGUGAGGACAUCAGACCUGACAUCAGUGCUGACCAGGUGUGUCCGCGGAGCUGAACCGGACUCCAUCUGCCAAGCAAACAUCCACCUUCUCCAUCUAGCCCAGUUCUUGGGCUUGUACCCACUACUCCAGUGGCAACAGUGGAUACACCUGCUCCACCCACUACGGGACACACCUGCCCAUCCGGAUACUACUGCCCUGCACCUUCUGUGAUGAGCUUGACUAGAAUAGGCUGCGUCCACCCACCUGCUCUGCCCGACUUCACCUUUUCUCAGUAUCACAGUUUUUGCGUCCUCUUAACAGUUCCAGAAUGACAUUCGGUCCUGCUCCAGGGAAAACUCUUUCCCUGAUCCCAGUUUUCCUGUUCUUAGCACAGGAAUCCCGCACGUUUCUAUGGUACCUUCCUGCCUCGAUGAAAGUUUCCUCCUGUAAUUUCUUGGCUGUAUUUAAGUUGAGUGUCUGUUUGUGUGUUUGGUACGGUGAAUGUGGCCACGCUUGAUUGCGUUGUGGGUGAGGGUGAAAAUGUGUAUGUCUGUGUGUGUCGGGGGUGUAUCCAUAUUGUGUGGGUGUGUCUGUAUGUCACUUUGGGUGCGUGUGGGUGUGUACAAAUAUUCGUGUGUCCUGGCCUGUGCGUAAGCGUGUGUAUUUGUGUGGAUACACGUGUGUGAAAAUCGUCUACUGUAAUCUGUCUUCUAACGCAGCCUCUGUGAGGUACUAACCGUGCAAUACGUUUCACGUUUUCAACUUGAACAGAUCAGUCACAACUGCUGUUUAUACGACUGCCACUUUAUAGAGGGAGAAAAAACUAAAAAAAAUGACAGAUGCCGUUAGAUGUUGUCAAGAGACCUUUACAAAUGCUAUGAGCUCGCCCUGCUCCUGGCUGAGUGACUAGUUCUCUUCUCUCCCCCGUCCUGUAAGAUUGGGCCCUCUCGCUCUCGUUAUUAUUAUUAAAGCAAAACACCCACAACUUGGUCAAGAUUCUAGCAUUUUGAAUCUAAAGAGAACACCUUCCUAAGUCGAGUGUGUUGUGUUUUGUGAAUAGUGUUUGAGGUGUGACGUCCGAACCAGGCUUGUACAGCUUCCUUCUCUGGGGCCUUAAUGAGUUGUAAUACUAAUUGAUUCACAUGACUACAUUUUUAGGGGACAUAAUAACUUCUCAUAUGGAUUGCAUGAGGGAUUUUUCUCUGAUUAAAAAUUUGUCCUUAAUAAAGAUUUAUUUAUUUUGAAUACAUAGAUGACUGUGGUUCAUUUUGUGUUCAGUGGUGGUUUGCUGGCGUUCAUACACUUCUGUUUCCAGGUUCUGGAUUCUGGAAUGUUUGGAUGUUGUGUUGUCAGCAUCCGUAAGAUGGGACAUUGCGGUUCCUGCACAGGUAUGACUGUGCUCAUACAAAAAGGAGGCGUGGUCUUCUCAUCUCUAACAGGCUUGGCACAGAACUGUAACUGAGGCAUACUUACCACCAACGACAGAGCUUUUAAUGCACAAGCUAACAGUGGACAAUAUUUAAGGACCAGAUUUACAGGUUGUGAAGGAAAUAAAUUGUAUUUUU
ensembl:lncRNA